CUGACGAUGCGUACGAGACUGCCCUAUCAUAAAAUCCAUGUUCACUAUUUCCCACUUCCAAGUAGGGAUGCUAAAAUCCUGCAAUGUAUUACUAGGCCUUUGGUGCUCAACCUUAACCUACUGAUAAUUUGGGCACUUAGCCACUAACUCUACAAUAUCAUUCUUUAUACUACUCCACUAAUAGAUUUAUCGCAUAUCGUAGUAUAUCUUAGUGGAUCCUGGG
rnacentral:lncRNA from 1 species